AAAUUUUUUAAUAUUUCUAUCUGUGCACUAAAUUAUAAGUUUAAUGGUUUUAUUAUGUGUACAACAUAAUCGCUACAAGAUUGAAAAACAGUUAUUCGUGCUUUUUUGUGUUUCUCUUCUAGUUGAUGGUGAUUGUUGUCUCCUCACUAAGUUUUUGUGACUUACCCCUUUGUAUUGUUUAUUUUUUCAGAUUCGCAUGCAACUGAGUAGAAAUAUGUUAGUAGAUUUUGGUCUUGACCAUACUUUUUUUUGGUAGGCCUCUUUAAUCGAGGAUCAUUUUUGUAACGUUUGUUGAGUCUGAUGUAAAUUGCAGCUAUUCUGGAGUCUAGAAAGUCUAUUUUUUUUGGAAGUGUAUUAAGCAAAUUUGAUAAUGUUAUAUGAAUUAUGAUUGCAUUGAAAGUUAAACAGGGAUCUUAUAAAUUUGGGAAUAUUGAAGUUAUAGAGGAUACUCUGUCGAAAUUUCGUAUAUAUAUAAUUUUUUUAAAUGGUUAGAGAACGGUUUAGUUGUUAAGUUAAUUGAUAGGCUUGCCAGACUAGUAGUAUAGCCUGUGCGCCGAUCACAACGCUUAGUUUUCGGGUCGUGAUAGUUUUGUUACCCCCAUCAAUCAAUACUACUUUUUUCUUACAUUUGAUCUAACAAUGUUAAAUUUUCGGCUAGGGGUUGGUGGUUUUGGAGAGACUGGGACAGUUUGCUGAGCAUAUCUAAUUGGCGACUUGGUUUGGAGAAUUAUGCUAUUUGUCACCAACUACUUGUCACAGAGUAAUCUCUCUGUUCAUGUAUCAUCUGAUACUUACAAGGUAAGCGUUAUAUGGGUUUGUUGUACCACAGAAGUCUCUUGUUUUCAAUUUGGUGAUCACUACAAAGUUAACUUCCGACUUUUGUUGUCGAGUCAUUUCAAUUUGGAGUAUAAUUAGCUGAUCUUAUGACUUUUGAGUAUUUGAAUUUUUUCUGGAGUAGUAUACAAGUUUCUGGAAUAACUCUUUGCUCUUCCUAAGAUAAGGGAUUUUGGUUACGUCAUAUGUGCUACUUAUUUUGAGUAUCUGUUUGCUGGGGACAACUUUGUUGGGAAAGGUUUCUGUUAUCUUCUUUUACUCAUUAGUUGUUUUUGUGGUUAUUUGUGAUUUACGAUAAUACUCCUAAAAAGAUAUCCUCUUUGUUACAGUGGCCCAAGGGCUCAUCGGUAGUAGGAAGAAGCCAAAAUUGUAUCAUUUCAUAUGGAGUAUAUGAUCUUGCAAGUUCGAUGGAAAGAAGACAAAAUUUGCUAUGUUUGGGUGUCACAGGGGGAUAUAGACAGUGAAAGCCAUGACAGAGAUUAACAAGGACGUGAUUUUGCUAUGGAGAGAGCCUAUGAAUGUACCAUGGGAUGUGGAACCUGUUGUGGACAUUAUCAAGGACAUGCCUUUGGAUUUAAUCGGUAUUUUCUCCUUUAAUGCGUUUAUUCUGGAAUUCUAGAAUGGGGUGUCAUAUGAUAUUGUAUUGUGGCAAUGCUAAUAUUUGUGUUUUUAACUGAGAGUUUUAAGAGAGGUUCUGAAGUGCAUGUACAUCUAUUUCAAGGAUAAUUUAAUACAUGCGUUUAUAUGUUUUGCUGCGAGUUGAAGUUUAGAUAUCUAGAACGUUGAGACUUGUUGAAUGGAUAAGAAACGGAAAGCCCUAGAUAAAUUCAAUUGUGAACAUACAAAUGAAUUGCGAAUUUUUUUUUUUCUGCAGCAUGGUUUGUCAAAACGAUAACUUUCUUCGAAACGUCAAGCCUUGAGUUUUGAUUGGGUGAUAUCUAGAAUUAUCUUUUUGUUUGAGUAUUUCCUUAUCGAUUCUGAGAGCAUUUAUUUGUAAUUGUUAUUUCCCUUUUGAUUUUCCAGGAGAGGUAAUAUGUGAAACACAAUUUCUUUUAGUUCUAUCUUCUUCUUUUUUGAUUUUUUCGUGUUUUGUAUUUUGAUUAUUUUUUGAUUUCUUUACUCUAUUAUGAUUUUCACUGUUUCAGGUAAGAUAAGUCUAUUGGUGUGUGGUAAGAGUUAGUGGUUAUAAUUGAAAAGCUGAGCUUUAGAGGUUGUCAUACCAUUAAUACUACUUUUUUCAUACACAUGUUUGUUCUACGUUUGGGUUUUCAAUCUGUAUUCUGACAAUGCUAAAGUUUACACAGUUCUGGAAAAAUUGGGACUACUUGGUGAGCCUGUCUUCCUAGGCGUUUACACAGUUCCUUUCUGCUUUGUACAAUAAUGUCAUGAUGGUUGUUCAUAUAUUUCCUAGGCGUUAAUUGCAGCAUCCACACUUCUCGAUUUCUUUGCAAAAGAUUAGCCGGUAAGAUUAUCGACUCUUUCUUCAAUGAGUUAUUCGUUUAUUAUUUUUAUUGUACUUUGAUCGCAAGACAUAUAAAUUGAAUUAUGAACCUGUUUUUCUGCAGUGUGGCAAAGCAUGUUUUUCUUUUUUGUUGUUGUAGGUUCAAUUCCUUUUGGUUUUAUCUUUCGCUGGUUUUAUCUUCUAGUUUUGUAUUCUUAUUCUUUUCUGAUUGUUGAUUUUGGUUUCUUGAUUUGGUUCUUGCUAGUUUCAAUCUGCGGCUAUUAUUUAGAUUUUAACGGAUGUUUCUUUUAUUAUUUUAAUGAUUGUAACUAUUAUUUAGAUUUUAAAUUAUUGUUGUUCCAAUUCUUUCUUACACUAAUACUACUUUUUUCUUACAAAUGUUUGUUCUACAUUUGAGUUCUUGAUCUGUAUUCUUAGGAGAAUAUGGUGGGCCUCUCUUUUUUAUAUGAGACAUAGUUUGUAGAAUUAUGCUACUCUUCUAUCUUUUUUUUUGGUUUUUGUGCAUCUAUUUCUCACUGAAUUUUUUUUUUACCUUACCUAUAUCAUCUGGUGUUUCAUAUGGCUUGAUUUGAAUGCACCUUUUUCUUGGUUUUUGUGCAUUUAUUUGUCACUAUUUCUAGGCUUUUAUUUCUUACUGUAUUAUAUACUUUCUAGGCUUCUAUAUGUUUUUUCCGGUGUCAAGGUCAGGAAUUCUCGACUACAUGGUUUGGUGCUGUUUUAUUAUGUUGAUUUCUACUUUCUCUGUUACAAGAUGUUUACUAUUUUAUGUCAUUUGUGAUAAUAUAGGAAUAAGGAUCUUCUCUCCCAAAUGGGUAUUGGUGACUACGGGAAACCUAAACUUUUGUUGGUGUUAUGUUUUCAUUUUGCGAUCUCCACUUUUACUAUGAAUUCUUCAUGUGUCUCUGUCUUUGGUUGAUCCGGUGUUCUUGAUUCUUUCUUUAGUUCCUUUUAAGUAUGAUAAGGGUAUGGACUGUAGAAAUCUGUCUCUUAGUAUCAAGUUCACUCAAAGAUAACUAGGGGUGUACAUCACUCAAUCUAACCCAACCUGACCAGUAUCCGAUCACUUUUGAAUUUGAUUCAAUCUAAUCUGUUGAAAUCCGUUUAUAUUUAGUUUGGGCAAUGGGUUUAAUACUUUAAAUUCAUUUUUCUUUUGUUCAGCAUGUGUUCAUAAUUAAUUUUUAUAUGAAUUAAUUAUAAUUGAUUUUUAUACAAUUGUUGAUGCAAGAUAUUCAUGCAUCUAUCAAUUUUGCGUACAAUUUAUUUUGGUCUUAUAAUCUUGUAUAUGGCUAUUU
rnacentral:lncRNA from 1 species